ACUCCUACGGGCAGGCAGCAGUGGGGAAUAUUGGACAAUGGGCGAAAGCCUGAUCCAGCCAUGCCGCGUGUGUGAAGAAGGUCUUCGGAUUGUAAAGCACUUUAAGUUGGGAGGAAGGGUUGUAGAUUAAUACUCUGCAAUUUUGACGUUACCGACAGAAUAAGCACCGGCUAACUCUGUGCCAGCAGCCGCGGUAAUA
rnacentral:rRNA from 1 species